GAUCAUGGCUCAGGAUGAACGCUAGCUACAGGCUUAACACAUGCAAGUCGAGGGGAAACGACAUCGAAAGCUUGCUUUUGAUGGGCGUCGACCGGCGCACGGGUGAGUAACGCGUAUCCAACCUGCCCACCACUUGGGGAUAACCUUGCGAAAGUAAGACUAAUACCCAAUGAUAUCUCUAGAAGACAUACUGAAAGAGAUUAAAGAUUCAUCGGUNAUGGAUGGGGAUGCGU
rnacentral:rRNA from 1 species